rnacentral:rRNA from 1 species
UACGUAGGGGGCUAGCGUUGUCCGGAUUUAUUGGGCGUAAAGAGCGUGUAGGCGGCCAGGUAGGUCUGGUGUGAAAACUCGAGGCUUAACCUCGAGAUGUCAUCGGAAACCAUUUGGCUAGAGUCCGGAAGAGGAGAGUGGAAUUCCUGGUGUAGCGGUGAAAUGCGUAGAUAUCAAGAGGAACACCUGAGGUGAAGACGGGUUGCUGGGCUGACACUGACGCUGAGGCGCGAAAGCUAGGGGAGCAAACGGG